rnacentral:rRNA from 1 species
UACGUAGGCAGCGAGCGUUGUUCGGAGUUACUGGGCGUAAAGGGUGUGUAGGCGGUUGUUUAAGUUUGGUGUGAAAUCUCCCGGCUCAACUGGGAGGGUGCGCCGAAUACUGAAUGACUUGGAGUGCGGGAGAGGAGAGUGGAAUUCCUGGUGUAGCGGUGAAAUGCGUAGAGAUGUGGAGGAACACCAGUGGCGAAGGCGACUCUUUGGCCUGUAACUGACACUGAGGCGCGAAAGCGUGGGGAGCAAACAGG